CCCUUAGAUGUUCUGGGCCGCACGCGCGCUACACUGAUGCAUUCAACGAGUUUCUUCCUGGUCCGAGAGGAAUGGGUAACCUUUUGAAAGUGCAUCGUGAUAGGGAUAGACUAUUGCAAUUAUUGGUCUUCAACGAGGAAUUCCUAGUAGACGUAGUUCAUCAGACUGCAUCGAUUACGUCCCUGCCCUUUGUACACACCGCCCGUCGCUCCUACCGAUUGAAUGCUCAGGUGAGCCAUUCGGACUUUCAUCAUGCUGGUUUCCAGUUUUGAUGAAGGAAAGUCUUGCGAAGCUUAUCAUUUAGAGGAAGGAGAAGUCGUAACA
rnacentral:rRNA from 1 species